UUUUUUGUAUAAGUAUGUCCCAUGCAGUGUUUGGGAUGUGCUUAUCCUCAAA
rnacentral:pre_miRNA from 1 species